AAGAAAGUCACUAUGUGCAGUUAUGGCCCAGUUCCUUGAGGUUGGAGUAUCUGAUUUUUCUGCACAGAGUAUGAAUGAUGGAUAACAGAACCAGAGACUGGGAACAUGGAGGCCAAGGGGGAACUCCUCGGGAGCUGCAACUGACACACAAAGGAAAUUUUAAGCAAGGCAGUGGAAAUGAGCAAGGCAAUUUACUUCUAUAGAAGGGUGCGCCCUCACAGAUGGAGCAAUGAAUGUGAAUUCGAAUUGUUGCAGAAUGUCAAAGGAGAACUCUUCCUGCUGUCUCAGAAUUUCAGCUGGAGCUACAGAGAUCAAAGAGAGGUUGUUAAAUACCCACUAAUUUGAAAGCGAGUUGACAGGCCAGCUGUGCAGAACAUGCUAAGGGGUAACCCCAAAAGACAGAUAAGCCUUUGUCUAUGACGUGCCUCAAGCCAAUACAAGGAGAAAAAAGAAGAGCAAUAAAGGAAAGACCAUGAGGAUGGGUUUCUGUGAGAAGAGCUGUAGAUUUUUCCUUUCUUCUCCAUACCUUGAGCCAAGUUGGGAGGUUGUAAAAAUCCUCUGACAGAGCUUGGGUGUGCUUCCUGCCAGGAGGAAGACUAACCUGGAACAAGCGGGUGGGGAGAGACCUUCAGAGAAUUUGGACUCCCUACAGUCGGGGGCACAGGGUUUUGUGUUGACUUGCACUUGUAGAAGUCCGAUGCCAGCCGGGCGCGGUGGCUCACGCCUGUAAUCCUAGCACUUUGGGAGGCUGAGGCGGGUGGAUCACGAGGUCAGGAGAUCGAGACCAUUCUGGCUAACACUGUGAAACCCCGUCUCUACUAAAAAAAAAAUGCAAAUUAGCCAGGUGUGGUGGCGGCGCCUGUAGUCCCAGUUACUCGGGAGGCUGAGGCAGGAGAAUGGCGUGAACCCGGGAAGCGGAGCUUGUAGUGAGCCGAGAUUGCACCACUGCACUCCAGCCUGGGCGACAGAGCGAGACUCUGUCAAAAAAAAAAAAAGAAAAAAGAAAAAAAAGAAAGAAAGAAGGAAAGAAAAAAUUCCGAUGCC
rnacentral:lncRNA from 10 species